rnacentral:tRNA from 1 species
GGGCCGGUGGUGUAGCCUGGGAGCACACCCGCUUGGCAUGCGGGAGGUCGCGGGUUCAAGUCCCGCCCGGUCCACCA